CGAUUACUCGUGUCGUGUAGGUGAGAACCUGCGUUCAGGUUCAAGUCGAGCGAAGUGAGACAGCAACGCGCCAGCGUUGACCCCGAAGGGGCGAGGCCAAAGGCCGAGUCAUCCUGCACGACCCACCA
rnacentral:sRNA from 1 species